AAGAACAUCGCCCUUAUACGAUAUAUUUUUUUCAAAGCAAGAAUAGACUAUGCGUCGAAAAAAAUGAGAAUGUUAAAAUGUGAUGCAUUCUCAGAGUCCCCUUUGCGGUAAACACAACGCAGUAGGGCUGGCAGCUUUAAUUUUCGUAAUGCAUUUUCGGGUAUUCUCGGAUGUACUGCAAUUAUUAAUAUUGACAAGGAAAGUAAUCCAAUCAUAAGACUUGGCGAUUGUCCACGCUCCAUACAAAAAAGAUUUUUUUUGUAUGGAAAUGGGGGGGGGGGAUUGAGAUUUAAAAAAAUGUCCACGUAGUUUGUUGAUGAUCCCCAGAUUAGAUUAGAUAAAUCUAGUUGUUGCCGACACUGUAGAGCUGUGCCAAACAAACAGACAGAUCGGCGGCGAUGGACGACCCACGACUUGUCAACGAGGAGCGAGACGUCAAACGCCGGAAGUAAAGGGGAGAAAAAAAAAGCUUGAUCGAUUGGAAAAAGACGUGGUUCACCUGCGGGGAACUAGAUUUACUUUUUGCGAGUUUAUUUUUUAUUAGUUAACGUUGAAUUUCUUUUCGUUUGCUGCUGUUAAGUGAGUAGGUUAAUUGAAGAAACAAUUUGUUUUCGUUUAUUUCAUUUUUUCUUAAUUUUGCUUAGGAAAAGCAGGCACACGAGGUGCGAUCAAUUACAGAUUGAUUGUUGCGAUCGUCAAUAAUCAGAAGGCCGAAGGCCGGGUUAUUGUAAGUUAGUUAAAUGUUACUCCUAAAUCAUUACUAAUCGCAUCUAAUCUCUCUAAGGUACGUCGAUUACAAGAAAAGGUUAGAGGAGUUUGCGCGUUCGGACUUCUCCGAGGAGAGAAACCAUAAUGUAAGGUUAGGUUUGAAACACACGUACACAUUUGACUUAAACGGAUUCUCAAUUGCAGUUUGAGCUGAAUAAAAUUUCACGCUACAAGAACGGCCUUUCUCACCGGGUUCCGAAACGAAUCGCGCCACCCUAACAUUCUCAAAAUUAUGGCUACCAUCCGGCCAGAUGAGAACUGCCCGUAUUGCGGGCUUCCAGACGAAGCCGAUCGGGAAAUGGUCCAAUGCGACCAAUGCGACGUCUGGUACCACUUCCGGUGUGCCGGAGUAACGCGGGCAGUCAAACACCAGCCAUGGUUCUGCGGGCCGUGCCAGUCCGGUCGAAAUCGACAUAACGGCCCGAAUCCCGAAGACGAUCCUGCCGCCAGCGAGGAGGACAACUACUCGGUCCCUCCGUCUGAACUUUCGUCGCUCCGAUCCCACACCAGUUCGUCCAUUCGGCAAGGACUGCAGCUGUUGGAUGAGCAGUUUCAAGUUCAACAGAAGAGGCUGGCCGAGGAGAAGGCCCUGCAGGAACGAAGAUUGGCGCUCGAAGAAGAAUACGCCAAGCAACAAAAUGAUCUACGUGAAGAGCACCUCAAGGUUCGCCAAGAGCUGCUCUCAUCUCUGCGAGACAUGAGCGUUGGUGGAAGUCGGGGCAGUGCGCACAGUCAAGCCAGCGCUGUGCGAAGUGAAAGGGUUCGGCAAUGGAUGGACAAACAGCAAAAUCCAGUGGAAAAUCCACGAAAAGUGGAUCCGCGCGGAGCUUUUCCAAACAACAAGUCAGCAAAAGAUGUGUCUCCUCUUCGAAAUCCCAACCUACCACAACAUUUGGAGCGGGCAAAUAAAUCCGACGACAGUGUCCGUGCGGGAAGACCGCACGAGUUUCCGUCCGAUGAACCAAGAGGCGAUGCUGGAUAUGAAGGAGUUCCGGACGGGCUGGGGUGCCGCAAUGUCCAUGCAAAUCGAGAACAAAAUGCCUUGCGUCCAUGUCCCGCUCCGCGACAACACAUGCCAUCAACUAUCGCCCAAGAGACGCGACGUCCGUGUCCGGCACCAAGAAACGUCGUCGACGGGCUGGGGCAGCGCAAAAUGCCAUCGACCUCAGCACGAGACGCGCCACAACCACAUCUCUUCUCAAGUUUCUUCGCCGAGCAUCGAGUUCCAGGAACCGGACGAGUUGAGGAUGUUGUGUCCUUCAGAGGACAGCCAGGACAAGGAGAAGCUGGACAACAUCGGCCGCUAAUCUCGCGUGGAAACGACGGCCGAGCUGCUCGGAACAUCUUCGAGGAUCCACCGGCGUCUCACGCUGACGGUGAUCUUGCGUUGUUUACAGGUGCUCCUUACCAACAACUGCAACCACAACCGCCGCCACCUUUCGACGCAGGUGAUGGACGCUCCCAUUUCAAGACACCACAAGCCUUGCCACAAGCACAUCUACGGUACAACCAGAGUGAGCAGCGCGAAGGAAACGAUCAUGGGCCCCAGGAUCGAUGUCAGUUUGGUGGAAUAACGCCAGAACAGCUUGCCUCGCGACAAGUUCUGCCCCGAAAGCUGCCAAUCUUCUCUGGGAGCUACGAAGAGUGGCCGCUGUUUAUCAGCUGCUACAAUACAACCACCGAAGCGUGCGGCUAUACGGACAACGAGAACCUCGUUCGGCUCUUGGACUGUUUGAGAGAUCCUGCUAUUGGACAUGUACGCGGCCAGUUGUUGCUCCCACAGUCGGUUCCCAGAGUGAUUGAAACGUUGCGGAGAAUCUACGGACGUCCUGAACAACUGUUGCAGUCUCUGUUGAUGAAAGCACGACGUUGCGACCCCCCCAAAUCUGAUCGACUGGAAACGUUCAUCACCUUCAGCCUGGUUAUUGAACAGCUGUGCGACCACUUGGAGGCAACGAACCUUCAAGAUCACCUGGUAAACCCCAUGCUACUUCAGGAACUUGUGGACAAAACCCCGGCUGGCACGAAGAUGGAGUGGGUCCGAUUCAAACGCCGUCACGGUCAAGUCACUCUGAGAACGUUCGCGGAUUUCAUGGCCGGCAUAGCAGAAGACGCGUGCGAAGUGGCGCCCAUGAUAGACAACAAGCAGCUUGCGGGUGACAAACGAGUGGAAAAGCGGACCAAGGAAAGGGGGUUCGUUCACGCCCAUGAUGCGACUACCGUACCAGGGCAGAUCACUAAAGAACGAGUUGAUAUCAAGCCCUGUCGAGUAUGCCAGAGCACCGAGCACAAGAUCCGGAACUGCGAUGAGUUCAAGAACCUAACGCAAGCAGACAAGACGGCGCUAGUUGACAAGUGGAAGAUCUGUCGCAUCUGCCUCAACGAACACGGGGAUUCGCGAUGCCGGUUUAAGAUCCAGUGCAAUGUCGAACAAUGCCGAGAGCGUCACCAUCCGUUGAUGCACGGCGAAGCUGCAACAACCCAUGCUGCGGAAGCAACGGAAGCGGCACACAAUGCCCAUCGAGCUGAUAUCGGGCAAAUGCAGUUUCGCCUCGUCGCGGUCACGCUGCACCACGGAACGCGUUCUGUGCGAACGACCGCAUUCCUGGAUGAGGGCUCAUCGAUGAGUUUGGUGGAGCGCUCACUGGUUGAUGUUCUCGGCGUCAAAGGAGGAGAACUUGAGCCGUUGCGCUUGAUUUGGACGGCGGAUAUCAGUCGAACUGAGAAAAACUCCAAGAAAAUCAGCGUCCAGAUAUCAACGGCCGGGUGUGACCAGAAACAUCAGCUGGCGUUGCGCACCGUUACCGAGCUGAAACUACCAACACCGUCGUUUAAAAUCUCCAGCCUGACGAAGCAGUUCAAGCACCUGGGAGACCUCGAAGUCGACGACAACCUAGGCAAGCCGAGGUUGCUUUUGGGAUUAGAUAACCUGCACUUGUUCGCUCCCCAAGAAUCCCGCAUUGGCCAGCCCAACGAACCCAUAGCCGUCAAGUCAAAGCUGGGUUGGAGCGUGUACGGCCCUAGCAGUGACAACAAGUGCGGCGGAGGUGUCGUCGGUUCACACUUCACGGAAAACAUCUCGAACCAAGAGCUGCACGACCUCAUCAAGGAGUACUUCGCCGUGGAGGAAGCUGGCGUAACCGCUGGAGUUCUAGAAUCCGACGAUGAUCGCCGAGCAAGAGUUAUUUUGGAGAACACCACAGUGAAAGUCGGCGGCCGAUACGAAACGGGACUCUUGUGGCGCUCGGAUGAUUACGAUUUUCCGAACAGCUAUCCCAUGGCAGUGCGACGUCUAGAGCAGUUGGAGAAGAAGCUCUCCAAGAACCCAGAACUGGCGGAGAAUGUGCGGCGACAGAUUACGGAGUACCAGCUGAAGGAAUACGCGCACAAGGCUACGCCGAAGGAAUUGUCCGACUCGGAUCCUCGCAAAGUGUGGUACAUACCACUCAGCGUGGUUGUAAACCCCAGGAAGUCAAAAGUGCGGCUGGUGUGGGACGCGGCUGCUUCCGUCAACGGAGUAUCGCUGAACAGUCAACUCCUCAAAGGUCCUGACCUUCUAGUGAGCUUGAUCGAAGUUCUCUGUCGCUUUCGUGAGCGGCCAGUGGCUUUCGGAGGUGAUCUGCAAGAGAUGUACCACCAGGUCCGCAUCCGGUCAGAAGACAAGCAAGCACAACGAUUCCUCUUUAGAGACAACCCGACUCUGAAGCCCGACGUGUACGUUAUGGACGUGGCUACAUUUGGGGCCACUAGUUCUCCUGCAUCCGCACAGUUCGUCAAGAACAAGAACGCAGCGGAAUUUGCCCACGUCCACCCGGAAGCAGCAGCGGCGAUAAUCCAGCGGCACUAUGUUGAUGAUUAUUUUGACAGUGCGGAUACGGAAGAAGAGGCGAUAGAACGAGCUCAAGCAGUGAAGCAUAUCCACGCGCAAGGAGGGUUCCACAUACGUAACUGGGUGUCCAACUCGACGCGCUUCCUGGAAGCACUAGGAGAACCAAACCAGAAACAGAACGUCCAGUUCACCAGCGACAAGCACACCAACACCGAGCGUAUUCUUGGAAUCACCUGGAACCCCGUGCUGGACGUCUUCGUGUUCUCCAUCCCGACAAACGAAGCACUGCAGCCAUUCCUGACCGGAAAAGCCCGGCCGACCAAAAGCAUCGUGCUGAAGUUCCUCAUGUCGUUCUUUGACCCGCUAGGCCUGAUCGCUCACUACUUGGUACACGGAAAAAUCCUCAUGCAGGACAUCUGGCGUUCCGGUUGUGACUGGAAGGCGACGAUAAACGACGACUGUUACGCUGGAUGGACACAGUGGAUUAAGUGGCUGCCCCUCCUGGAACAACUUCAAAUCCCUCGCAGCUACUUUGGCGACAUUCGCAGCUCCAAAAUUGAAUCCGUUGAGCUUCAUGUGUUCAGUGACGCCAGCGAAAAGGCCUACGGAAGUGGGGCCUAUCUGCGCAUUGUUUGCGACGGAGCCAUCCGCUGUACGCUUGCCCUAGCGAAGACCAAGGUUGCGCCACUCAAGCUGCUGUCGAUUCCCCGCCUGGAAGUUUCAGGGGCAGUCCUGGGAGCCAGACUAGCCAACACAGCAGAAACUUGUCAUUCGUUGCCAAUUUCUCGUCGAGUGUUCUGGGUGGACUCGGCUACUGUGAUUGCCUGGAUUCACUCUGAUCAUCGAAAGUACAAACCGUUCGUCGCGCACCGGAUAAGCGAAAUUCUCUCGCUCACGAGUGUCGACGAGUGGCACUUCGUUUCUACUAAAUCCAACGUGGCGGACGACCUGACGAAGUGGAGGAAGCGAUUUACGAUGAGCAGCGAAGACCGUUCAAUCCGAGGACCAGACUUCAUCUACACGGACUCUAAGAGCUGGUCGGUGCCUGCAACGCCGAUCGAAAGUGUGGAAGAAGAACUGAGAGCAGCUUUCCUGUUCCAUGAAAUUCACCUGCCGGAGCCCGUCAUUGAUGCAGAGCGCUUUUCAUCCUGGAAGACGCUGGUCAGAUCGCUGGCCGUCAUCUUCCGCUUCCGGUCUAACUGCCAGCGCAAGGCGCGUGGUUUGCCGAUUGAAGCUAUUCCCGCAACACCUGCAGUAACCGGACACGUGAAGGGAGCAGUUUCAUCCACAGAAGUUCCGUUGCGCCAAGAAGAAUAUGUCCAGGCUGAAAAUUGUUUCUGGAGGUUGGUGCAGGCAGAUAUGUUUCCGGAUGAAGUGAUGGUGCUGUUGAAGAAUCGGGAGCUGCCUCGAGAGGAGUGGCACCAGGUGGAAAAAACGAGUGUCAUCUACCAAUUGUCGCCUUUUCUCGACCACGCUGGGGUGCUUCGAAUGGAAGGUCGAACCGAAGCUGCCGAAGAGUUGCCGUUUGACCUGCGUUUUCCCGUGAUCCUGCCGAAGAAACAUCCGAUUACCAUCAAGCUAGUAGAACAUUAUCAUCGCAAGCUCCGGCACGGCAACAACGAAACGGUCGUCAACGAAAUGCGUCAACGGUUCUUCAUCGGGAAUCUACGAGCCGUCGUACGGAUGGUCGCGAACGACUGCCAGCUGUGCAAAAUUCGCCAGAGUCGACCUGCUGUACCCCGUAUGGCACCGCUACCGGUUCAGCGUUUGCAGCCGUACCUGCGGCCGUUCAGUUUCGUCGGCGUGGAUUACUGUGGCCCAAUCACUGUAACUGUUGGGAGACGCAGCGAGAAGCGGUGGAUUGCCGUGUUUACCUGUUUCAACACCAGAGCGGUUCACCUAGAAGUGGCCCACAGUCUCAACAAGCAGUCCUGUCUCAUGGCACUUAGGAGGUUCAUGUGCAGGUACGGCGUGCCAAGGGAGAUAUUUUCCGACAACGGAACAAAUUUCCACGGCGCAAACAAUGAGGGAGUCCUGAUCCGUGCCAUCAACAACAACUGUGCGGACGUGGUGACAGACGCUCGACUCAAGUGGAAUUUCAACCCUCCAUCCGCCCCACACAUGGGGGGAGUUUGGGAACGCAUGGUCCGGUCCGUUAAAGAGUGUCUGAAGGUACUGGAUGAUGGCAGAAAAUUGACGGACGAAGUUCUGCUGACGGUGUUGGCAGAAGCUGCAGAAAUCAUCAACUCGAGACCUUUAACGUAUCAGCCGCAAGAUGCUUCGUCUCCGGAGGCACUCACGCCGAAUCACUUUUUGCGCGUAGGCCCUGCAAAUGAAGAAUUGGUUCUUGAAGCGGCGAACGUAGGUCAAGCACUGACGGACAGUUACCAACGGUCCCAGAUGUUGGCCCAAAAGAUGUGGAAGCGCUGGAUAUCCGAGUACGUGCCGUCGCUCAACCGCCGACCCAAGUGGCACGAGGAACGGGAACCGGUGAAGGCGGGUGACUUGGUGUUCAUCGCGGAUGAAGAGCAGCGGAAGACGUGGAUCCGCGGGAUCGUGGAUGAGGUGAUUAAGGCGAAGGAUGGACGAGUUCGACAAGCUGUUGUUCGUGCUCAAGGAAAGUUGUACAAGCGGCCGGUGGCGAAACUGGCGGUGAUCGAGGUUGGAGCUAAUGGACGAAAUGAACCUCAUUCCGAGAAACCUCGGGACUAAGGUCCACGGGCUGGGGAACUGUUGCCGACGCUGUAGAGCUGUGCCAAACAAACAGACAGAUCGGCGGCGAUGGACGACCCACGACUUGUCAACGAGGAGCGAGACGUCAAACGCCGGAAGUAAAGGGGAGAAAAAAAAAAGCUUGAUCGAUUGGAAAAAGACGUGGUUCACCUGCGGGGAACUAGAUUUACUUUUUGCGAGUUUAUUUUUUAUUAGUUAACGUUGAAUUUCUUUUCGUUUGCUGCUGUUAAGUGAGUAGGUUAAUUGAAGAAACAAUUUGUUUUCGUUUAUUUCAUUUUUUCUUAAUUUUGCUUAGGAAAAGCAGGCACACGAGGUGCGAUCAAUUACAGAUUGAUUGUUGCGAUCGUCAAUAAUCAGAAGGCCGAAGGCCGGGUUAUUGUAAGUUAGUUAAAUGUUACUCCUAAAUCAUUACUAAUCGCAUCUAAUCUCUCUAAGGUACGUCGAUUACAAGAAAAGGUUAGAGGAGUUUGCGCGUUCGGACUUCUCCGAGGAGAGAAACCAUAAUUUUGAGCUGAAUAAAAUUUCACGCUACAAGAACGGCCUUUCUCACCGGGUUCCGAAACGAAUCGCGCCACCCUAACACUAGUGUUUGUUUUGAAAAGGUCCUAAAAGCUAUCGGUUUCGUUUCCCUAUGUUUAUAGGACUUUUUCAAAUAAAACACUAGAAAUGUUAGGUAGGUACUUUCACGUUCACGUCAGUGUUUGGCAAAUGCUAUUUCGGUGGAAAAUUUUAUGAACUCUAUGUACUUGUACUACGUCCAUGUUAGGGAAGCGCUUAUUUCAGUGGACUAUUUUUUGCAUUCUAGGUACUUGAAGUUCACGUCGAUGUUUGGAAAAAAUAAUAUGUGAAAUUAUUGUAGCAUAUACAUUAAAUGACAACCUGACGACUGUUUCGUAAUGUACAAUUUAUUUGGCAGUGACAAACGACAUUUAUUUCACAACGUAUUAAGGAGGUUAAAGCAAAACUUUGUUGACAUUUGGUGGUAACUCAAGGAACAGAUAAUUUGCGUUGCUUUAAAACUAUGCAGCUAUGUUUAUGGAAAGAUAAUAUAUUAACACUAGUGAUUAUUCCCAGGAAGAAUAAAACAUGUCUGGUUUAUGUAAAAACAUAUUAUGAUUUGAUUUACAAAGCGUUUAAAACAAUUGAAAUUUAGUUGUUACGAUUUCUCAUUCGACCUUAGCCAGGGCCGAGGAACAACACUUUACAUAAAAUUUGUAAUAA